rnacentral:rRNA from 1 species
CCUACGGGGUGCAGCAGUGGGGAAUAUUGGACAAUAGGCGAAAGCCUGAUCCAGCCAUGCCGCGUGUGUGAAGAAGGCCUUCGGGUUGUAAAGCACUUUCAGUGGGGAAGAAAGCCUUGGGGCUAAUACCCUCGAGGAAGGACAUCACCCACAGAAGAAGCACCGGCUAACUCCGUGCCAGCAGCCGCGGUAAUACGGAGGGUGCGAGCGUUAAUCGGAAUUACUGGGCGUAAAGCGCGCGUAGGCGGUCUGAUAAGCCGGUUGUGAAAGCCCCGGGCUCAACCUGGGAACGGCAUCCGGAACUGUCAGGCUAGAGUGCAGGAGAGGAAGGUAGAAUUCCCGGUGUAGCGGUGAAAUGCGUAGAGAUCGGGAGGAAUACCAGUGGCGAAGGCGGCCUUCUGGACUGACACUGACGCUGAGGUGCGAAAGCGUGGGUAGCAAACAGGAUUAGAUACCCCAGUAGUC